rnacentral:lncRNA from 1 species
AGAAAUCCCCGGAAACGCCCCGGUCCGCGAUCCGGGCCCGAGCAGCCAGGGGGCCCAAGGGAAGCUGAACGCCGGGUGAGCUACCCGGAUGGCUCUUCCGGUUCUUUGUGCGGCCUUCACCCAGUGAGGGAGCCUGUGCCCCCUGCCCAGUCGCUUUCGGGGCGCUGAGGAGCUUCCGCUGCCAUCUUCGGAUGCUGUGUCCCGCACGGAGGGUCCACCAGGGCAGGGAUAGUGGUGAGGGUCGCUCGUGGAUCCCCUCGCGGGGAGCAGGGUCUGGCACACACCAGGGCGCAGGAUUAGGACUUGUUGAAUGAAUCCAUCGUGGCCUUUAUCUUUUAGUCCUCUGAAGAGCGUUGAGAAUGGAAAUCAUAAGAUAUUUUUUCCAUUAGGAAGUUCUUUUUACAAGGCGUUUAUUCAGGUUGACUUCUCGGCACCCCGCGGGGCGGGCAACGGGCAGGGCCUCCAGUGCACCUUCUGCGCAGUGGAGCCGCGGGGGCCCAGCUGGGCGGUGGUCGGGUCGUGAGGCGGGAGGGCGGGAGCGGGGGAAGGGAAAAGCAAAAGCGGGGAAAGAAGCCGGGGAGCGGUGGACCAGACAUUCAGACCUCCUGAAAGGCUCGUGCGGAGGCAGAGGCGGGAUCUUCCGGAGGUUCAAACAAUACAGAAGUGUAUAAAGUAAGAAUUGAAAGUCUCUUCGCUGCUCUAAUCUCACUCCUCAGAGGUGAUCACUGGACCUGAGUGAGCAGAAGGCUUUUCAGAAUUACAGCCUGAACUAUUUCUUGAGCAAUUUGGGAACUCAUUUCUAAAGCAGUCCUCAGAUUCACACAACGUAGUUUGUGACGGAGUAUGCCCAGAGCAGUGUGGAAGAUGAUCAAAGUAUGACAUUUCUUCUACCCCAGAGGCUGGCAUUUCUGCAGGCACAAAUGAGCUUGGUUUUCAAGCACUGCUCUUUGAACACAAGGAAUUCCUUUAAUGAUCACGCCGGACUAUAUAGACUUUGGAAUCAGACUCUUUGAAUUCCAGCUCUGCCAUUUACCAACUUUGACACUUUGGACAACGUCUCAUUCUGUCACCCAGGCUGGAGUGCAGUGGCACAAUUAUAGCUCACUGCAGCCUCAAACACCUGGGCUCAAGCAAUCCUUCCACCUCUGCCUCCUGAGUAAUUGGGACUACAGGCAUGUGCCACCACACCCAGCUAAUUUUUAAUUUUUAAUUUUUUUGUAGAGAUGGCGGUCUUGCUAUGUCACCCAGGCUGGUCUUGAACACCUGGCCUCAAGUGAUCCUCCGGCCUUGGUCUCUCAAAGCUCUGGGAUUACAGACAUGAGCCACUGCACCCGGCUCUAUCUCCCCUUCCUAUGUGUGUUAGCUCUAGAACAAGAGAAGCCUUGUUGAGAUUCCUGGCUGCCCACCCCCCAUCACCUCUCUGACUUUGGGCAAGUUGCCUGGCCUCUCUCAGCCUUUAUUUUCUUUUUGUGAAAUGGGGAUAAUAAUAGUACUUGCCUCAUAGGCAAAAUGUUGUGAGAACUAAACGAGAAAAUGCAUGUAAAGCACUUGGCACUUAGUUCUUUUUAUGAUUAUAAUGAUAAUCAGACACAAUAAAUUAUGUCUCACAUC